UGUGACCUACGGGGGGCAGCAGAGGGGAAUAUUGCGCAAUGGGGGAAACCCUGACGCAGCAACGCCGCGUGCGGGAUGAAGGCUUUCGGGUUGUAAACCGCUGUCAGCAGGGAAGAUAAUGACGGUACCUGCAGAAGAAGCCCCGGCUAACUACGUGCCAGCAGCCGCGGUAAUACGUAGGGGGCAAGCGUUAUCCGGAUUCAUUGGGCGUAAAGCGCGCGCAGGCGGGCCGGUA
rnacentral:rRNA from 1 species